rnacentral:rRNA from 1 species
GACGAACGCUGGCGGCGUGCUUAACACAUGCGAGUCGAACGGAAAGGCCCUGCUUUUGUGGGGUGCUCGAGUGGCGAACGGGUGAGUAACACGUGAGUAACCUGCCCUUGACUUUGGGAUAACUUCAGGAAACUGGGGCUAAUACCGGAUAGGAGCUCCUGCUCCAUGGUGGGGGUUGGAAAGUUUCGGCGGUUGGGGAUGGACUCGCGGCUUAUCGGCUUGUUGGUGGGGUAGUGGCUUACCAAGGCUUUGACGGGUAGCCGGCCUGAGAGGGUGACCGGCCACAUUGGGACUGAGAUACGGCCCAGACUCCUACGGGAGGCAGCAGUGGGGAAUAUUGCACAAUGGGCGGAAGCCUGAUGCAGCAACGCCGCGUGCGGGAUGACGGCCUUCGGGUUGUAAACCGCUUUCGCCUGUGACGAAGCGUGAGUGACGGUAAUGGGUAAAGAAGCACCGGCUAACUACGUG